UCCUACACUGACUAUUUUCCCUGCUUCCUCUCAAUGGCCAUGAGAGGAAGCAGGGCAAAUAGUCAGUGUAGGACC